rnacentral:rRNA from 1 species
AGUGGGGAAUAUUGGACAAUGGGCGCAAGCCUGAUCCAGCCAUGCCGCGUGAGUGAUGAAGGCCUUAGGGUUGUAAAGCUCUUUCAGUAGGGAAGAUAAUGACGGUACCUACAGAAGAAGCCCCGGCUAACUUCGUGCCAGCAGCCGCGGUAAUACGAAGGGGGCUAGCGUUGUUCGGAUUUACUGGGCGUAAAGCGCACGUAGGCGGUUUGUUAAGUCAGGGGUGAAAUCCCGGAGCUCAACUCCGGAACUGCCUUUGAUACUGGCAAGCUAGAGUCCGGAAGAGGUAAGUGGAACUCCUAGUGUAGAGGUGGAAUUCGUAGAUAUUAGGAAGAACACCAGUGGCGAAGGCGGCUUACUGGUCCGGAACUGACGCUGAGGUGCGAAAGCGUGGGGAGCAAA